rnacentral:lncRNA from 1 species
GGUCCAGCAGCCCCCCACCCCGGGCUGGGUCAGUUAGAAGGGGUGGCGUCACGUGGACAUCAGAAACUCUAGUCUGUAAAUGUGGGUCAUCCUACCCGGCCCCACACCGCAGAGACAACCCCCCCCCCAGGACCCCAGGAUACCUGCUGUACCAGGCCGACCCGCGUCUCGCCUUCCGGAGUCCACAGACGCCGGAGAGAUCGGGGGUGGGGGGGAGCAGUGGAGGAGAGAAGACCAGGGAGCCAGGUCCUGCUGGUUGGCGAAGGUCAGGAGCCUGGAAGAGACCACUGAGUGAGCACAGAUCCGAGAGAAUCGGGCCAGCACUCCCCCACCCUGGGCUGGGUCAGUUACAAGGGGUGGCGUCACGUGGACAUCAGAAACUCUAGUCUGUAAAUGUGAGUCAUCCUACCCGGCCCCACACCGCAGAGACACCCCCACCCCAGACAGGGCACCAGGAUACCUGCUGCACUAGGGCGACCCGCGUCUUGUCCCCCAGAGUCCAUAGACUCCGCAGAGAUCG